rnacentral:rRNA from 1 species
CCUACGGGCGGCAGCAGUGAGGAAUAUUGGUCAAUGGACGAGAGUCUGAACCAGCCAAGUAGCGUGAAGGAUGACUGCCCUAUGGGUUGUAAACUUCUUUUAUAUGGGAAUAAAAUGUUCCACGUGUGGGAUUUUGUAUGUACCAUAUGAAUAAGGAUCGGCUAACUCCGUGCCAGCAGCCGCGGUAAUACGGAGGAUCCGAGCUUUAUCCGGAUUUAUUGGGUUUGAAGGGAGCGUAGGUGGAUUGUUAAGUCAGUUGUGAAAGUUUGCGGCUCAACCGUAAAAUUGCAGUUGAAACUGGCAGUCUUGAGUACAGUAGAGGUGGGCGGAAUUCGUGGUGUAGCGGUGAAAUGCUUAGAUAUCACGAAGAACUCCGAUUGCGAAGGCAGUUCACUGGACUGCAACUGACACUGAGGCUCGAAAGUGUGGGUAUCAAACAGGAUUAGAUACCCGUGUAGUC